UACGUAGGCAGCGAGCGUUGUUCGGAGUUACUGGGCGUAAAGCGUGCGUAGGCGGUCUUGUAAGUCUGGUGUGAAAUCUCCCGGCUCAACUGGGAGGGUGCGCCGGAAACUGCAAGGCUGGAGUAUGGGAGAGGUAAGCGGAAUUCCUGGUGUAGCGGUGAAAUGCGUAGAUAUCAGGAGGAACACCUGUGGUGUAGACGGCUUACUGGACCAUGACUGACGCUGAGGCACGAAAGCGUGGGGAGCAAACAGG
rnacentral:rRNA from 1 species